ACAAUGGCGCAGUGACGCGGCAGGAACAUGGCGGAUCAUAGGACCAAGGGGAUAUAUAUUUAAUAAAGUUUAUGAGGGUGCGCGCAGCAGUCAGUGAGAGACAAGCAGAAAAUGUUUGCAUGACGAAGCAAACAAAGACAGAUUUAUCGAUCCGACCAUCGAGAUGUUUACACAUUAAAUACGUGUUUGCUUUGACGUGUUCCGAGCGAACAAGACGUGAGAAUAUGGAACACAUUUCCACCGAGCAGGUCUUGGAUCACAUCUAGCGGGUCUACAGCACCACUACAUGACAUCAGCAGGAAUCUAAGCGGAACAUUUUGAGUGCCUCUUUCACACCGGAAGAGGAGCUUCGACGCUCAUUUGGCGCAAGUUAAUUGCAGAACAACCAGUGGGUACACUUCAAGUUGGAGCUUUUAGGUGGCUAACUUUGCUCUACCUGCCAUAUUCCCUGAGCCCACCUCUCUUCCCGCCAUGGCGGUGAGCAGCGAGCCCACUUUAGAGAAGCUGGAGUCCACAUCUGAGGAACAAACCAGCAGUCUCACCGACAUCAUGGCUGCCAUGGCUACAAAAGACCUCAGCGGUUCUCUGAGGAAUGGAGGAGCUCAGCUGGUCAAGCCUCAGCCAUCACGGCCUCAGUUGACCGGAAGGAAGUCCUCUCUGCAGGAACGAGGCACUUACCUGUCCUCUGCAGGGGGCUACACACACAUCUCCCCCCGGGUAGCUCAAAGGCCGACAGUGGAGUCUAAACGUGUGUCUAUAUCCGAUUCUCAGAAUUGUGUCCAGUUGAACCAGUAUAAAUUGGAGAGUGAGAUUGGAAAGGGAUCUUAUGGUGUGGUCAAGCUUGCCUAUAACGAGGAUGAUGACAAACAUUAUGCCAUGAAAGUUGUUUCAAAGAAGAAGUUAAUGAAGCAGUGUGGUUUUCCACGUCGCCCACCUCCUAGGGGACCCAAGGCAGUCCAAGGAGAGCAGCCUAAGUUCCUCGGACCAUUGGAAAGAGUCUACCAAGAGAUUGCCAUCCUUAAAAAACUGGACCAUGUCAACAUUGUCAAAUUAGUGGAGGUGCUGGAUGAUCCUGCAGAAGACAAUCUUCACAUGGUGUUUGAGUUGAUGCGCAAUGGGCCGGUGAUGGAAGUGCCUACAGACAACCCUUUGUCAGAAGAACAGGCAAGGUUAUAUCUCCGUGACGUCAUCCUUGGUAUAGAGUACUUGCACUACCAGAAGAUUGUUCACAGGGACAUCAAACCUUCUAAUUUGUUGCUCGGGGAUGACGGCCAUGUGAAGAUUGCAGAUUUUGGAGUGAGCAACCAGUUUGAGGGAAGUGAUGCCAUGCUGUCCAGCACAGCUGGUACUCCUGCCUUCAUGGCUCCCGAGACCUUGUCAGACAAGCGCAAGAGCUUCAGUGGGAAGGCGCUGGAUGUUUGGGCCAUGGGAAUCACUCUCUACUGUUUUGUCUUUGGAAAGUGCCCGUUUAUUGAUGAGUACAUAUUGGCUCUGCACAAUGAGAUACGGAGCAGGCCUGUGGAUUUCCCAGAAAUACCAAAAAUAAAUGAAGAGCUGCGGACCUUGAUUUUGAGGAUGCUAGAUAAGAACCCGGACACCCGCAUCACCAUCCCUGAAAUGAAGAUGAACCAAUGGGUCACUAAGGAGGGCACUGAGCCACUUCCUCUGGAGGACGAGCACUGCAGUGUGGUGGAGGUGACGGAAGAGGACAUCAAGAACUCGGUCAAGUUUGUUCCCAGUCUGUCUGCUGUGAUCUUGGUAAAAGCCAUGUUGAGGAAACGUUCUUUCAGCAACCCGUUUGAGUGUCCAAGCCGGCGAGAGGAGAGGUCCAUGUCUGCACCAGGCAGCCUGCUUAUCAGGCAGCAGGGUAAUACAUGCAGCAGUCCCAAUGUGCAAUAACCCAGCAACUGACAGGUGAACCACAAGGAACUUAAGUAGGCCUAAUUACACACAGGAAACAGGUAGGCUUGAGGGAAACAGAAUAAAAAAUGAAGUUGCAGCCAACCUUAGAAACUGAGCAAGGAGUACAUCACAAAACACAAGGAAAUAUUAAUAUUAAUAUUUAUAACUCCAAAGCUGUCAUGUGGGAUCAUGACAAUUUGUUCGGAUCUUGCAAGGUUCACGGUUACAUUUUGUUGAAAAAAAGUAAACUGGCUGACUCAAUCAAUGGAUUUGGAAGCCAUUGUCAUUGUGAAGCCCCUUGUGAUUAAGAGCUAUGUAUUAAGUAAAAUGUUGUUGAUUGAUUGAUUUUAUUUAAAAAAUAACAAUGAUGAAACAAACAGAACAAAAAAGUGAAGGUAAGAGUUGGUUGUACUUUUCUUAUGGUACUGUGUUUGGAAAUUAAAAAUGUAUUAUAUCUAACAGCAAUACUUAAUAUACCUGUAACUCCAGCCUAUAGUCUAGCUUAGAGAAAUUGCAGAAGGACAUACAUUACAGUAUGAUGUGUAAUGUUUUAGCUUAAUUAUAAUUUCAUUUUCAUUUGGAUCCGUUAAUAAAUAUGUUGCAUCAUAUUGUCCUUUCUGUUCGGACAACACAGUGAAAGUUGACGUAAUUGUGACGUAAAUGGUGAUUAAUCAUGAUUAAUUGAUUUGCAGAGUGUGAUUAUUCUGAUUAAAAGUGUGACAGCGCUAUAAAAUUCAUCCACCACAAAAGUACAGUCACCGUGUUUGACUUGUUCGUCUUUUCUUCCACUUGGUUGCAGGGAUUCUUGGCCUCUCAGGCCCUCUUUAAAACGUCACCCCUCACUCAGAAAGGGCAGCACAGGUGAUGGACCCCGAGAAGGCAACCUGGAGGACGUGCAUGAAGAUGAAGCCUCUUCUUGAACUGAAACAUGCUUCAGCUACUCGCUCCUCACUUUGUGUUCUUCACAGCAAAGAUGCUCCAAAAUCCAGUGCAAUGAAUUUGAUGCUUUUUAUACUCAGUAAGCCACUUCUUUUUUUGUGUGGAAAAAGGACAUGCUUGAUUUCACACCUUAUAUUGUCUUACAAAUUAUUAUUAUUAUUAUUAUUAUUGAUGUCUUAGCAGUGUUAUUACCUCUAAUCAAUCCAUGAUCUUUUCACCGUGGGACUGUUUAAGCUAAUUAAGAUAAUGAAGAAAAUUAAGCUACAAGUUUUAUGAAGAUGCACCUAAUAUAAUAUUUAUAAGUAAUAUAAUAGCAUUGACAGUGCCGAAAAUCAAUCAAGAUGUGAUUGAUCAAUCAAGAAUUAAGUGAUUGAUUGAUUGAAGAAGCAAAUGUUAUUUAAUCGAUUACUGUAUUGAUCAUGUGUUCACUUCCUGCAUUUUUCUGCAUAUCCAUACAUACAAACUCAUGUUUUAUUGUUUCAUAUAAGAUAAAAUAAUGAAAAAGAAAUAUCAAUAUAGUCGAUACAUUUGAAUGAUGAAUGAAUGAAAAAUGCAUAACUCAUUAAAUGUAUUAAUAUACACUUUUUUUUUUUGUUUUAAUGUAAUACUUUUAAUAAACCUUCAGCAUGAUAAAGCAGUAGAAAAGAUAGAUGGAUGCAAUUAUGGAUGAUGAAUGGAUGAAUGUGUGGUCCUCCAGGGAAGUUUUUCUUUUGCGGAAUUUAUUUGAACAAACAUAAGGUUUUUUGUUUUUUUCUUAGGUUUAUGUUGGGUUUUUUUUCUUUUUAAAUCUGUUGAUGAUUAAUACAUUAAUCAAUACAUUAAUAUUCAAUUGGCUAGUAUCAAAUUGCUUUGCUUCCCUCUAAACGGAGGUCACCGUUUCAGUUGAUCCCGUUUAUGGGAUAAACUGGAUAAAGUUCAUGACCAUGCUGGGCGGUAUAGCUCGGUUGGUAGAGCGGCCGUGCCAGCAACUUGAGGGUUCCAGGUUCGAUCCCCGCUUCCGCCAUCCUAGUCACUGCCGUUGUGUCCUUGGGCAAGACACUACCCACCUGCUCCCAGUGCCACCCACACUGGUUUAAAUGUAUCUUAGAUAUUGGGUUUCACUAUGUAAAGCCCUUUGAGUCACUAGAGAAAAGCGCUAAAAAAAUAUAAUUCACUUCACACACUUUACUGUCCUUAAUUUGUCAACAUAUAUGGUGGAUCGCUUUUGUUGACAUAGCACGUCAGAUCAUAAGAUCAGAAAAUUGGUUUGUUUAUGUUGGCAUAAUAUUGUUUACGUCGUCUUGUCACAAGCAGAUUUGUGGAAACAAACAAAGAGCAGCAGGAGAGAAAGUGUCACUCCCUUUAAAGCUUCCAGUAGAACCAAAGAUCUUUUCUUCCGCUUUUUGUUCAUAACGGAAUAUUGUUUAAAAAAUCAUGUAUUUUUAUUCUUGUUAAGUUACAUGUACUUUAGUUAUGUUGACAGCUGCUUAUUGUCGAUGCGCGAGUCAGCCAAUCUGUGGUCAACUUAAGCGGCUCCGUACUUGAUAUAAAAUACAGUAUUUUAGUAAAGUACUUUAAUAAAGCAAUUGACCUAUAAUAUUUAGACUAUUUCAUAUAUUCCUGAGUCAUCACAUAUGUUGAUCAUAUUGCCUUGUUUCCACAUUUUAUUGAAACUUUAAGAAAACGUUUUCUUUUAUUAAAGUUUUCACGCAUCAUUUCUGCUGCAUCAGCACUUUUGAGGAGCUGCUAAACUUUGUGAUUGAGCUUCGCCUUAAUGUCCUUUAUGAAAAAUGAUAUUCACAUUAUGUGUUUUGAAGAAAGUGUGCUGCUUCAAGAAACUACUACUGCAUGCAUCAAUUGAGAAAGGACAAACUUAUUUUCAUGACUUCUUUUAAAACAUGCUGACAAAGCAGAUAUUUAUUACAUGACAGAUAUUCAUAUAACUUUUUGUUUGUUCUGUUUUUUAUGGUUUAUUGCUGUUGCUUGUGUAAAUGAAAAUACUGAUAAUAGAAACUCCAAAGGGCUUUUUCAACUCAUAUUUUGUGUCGUAACUUUGUGUCCUUUCUAACUUGAAAUGUCAUCAACUGAUUUACUUUAAAUAUCACAUUCUACUAUGUACAGUAUUACUACAUCAUACUACAGGCAGUACAAAUACCUUCUUCUACAUACAGUACUAUACAUUCCACUGCGUACACAUGCGAGGCAAGGAGUGAACUGUCUGUAAAACACAAUAAAUACUUUC